AGCUAUUAUUAUGAAUGGGGUCUCUAACCUCCCCUAACAAACUCGCUUCAGAUGUAAACAGAUUAUUUUAUGGAAGGGUCAGUUUAUUUGUUUUGACUCUACUGCAGCAGCCAGAAUUCCCAAUUUUAAAUAGACUUAAAUGACAAAGAUGGAACUUGUUGGUACGUGUCAUUUAAAAGUCCAGAUAUAUGUAGCUUCAGGUGUGGCUGGAUCUAAGGUGCUCAGAGGGUGGCAGAAAGAAUGUGUCUCUGCCUAUCCUGUCAGCUCCCCGUGGCUCUAUUUUGUCCUCAUUCUCAGGCUCACCUCUCCCUGCUGGGGGACACAAUGGCUUCCAGCAACUCACGAGGCUGCCUUUGCUAAAAGCAGGAUAAACUGGGCAUCUGUGCAUUCACUUGGUGUCUGUCUCCUUGAUGACCUUAAACUUUGCUCAGCUCUGCAUGCAGCAUGUUAAGAUCAAACUAGGGAAGCACAAGAAAUCAAAUCAAGAAUCAAUAAGUGGGAUGGUGUCAAACAAAAAGCUUCACAGCAAAGGAAACAAUCUCGUGAAGACAGAGCCCACAGACCGGGAGAACAUCUUGGCCACGCACCUCAGACAGAACAUCAAUCUCUAGGCUAUACGAAGAACUCAAAAACCUUAGCCCCAAAAUAAUAAUAAUAACCCAGUCAAUAAAUGGACAAAAGAAC
rnacentral:lncRNA from 1 species